GACGAACGCUGGCGGCGUGCUUAACACAUGCAAGUCGAACGAUGAAGCCGGAGCUUGCUCCGGUGGAUUAGUGGCGAACGGGUGAGUAACACGUUAGCAAUCUGCCCUUGACUCUGGGAUAACUGCGGGAAACUGUAGCUAAUACCGGAUACGACACCUUGGGGCAUCGCAGGGUGUGGAAAGAAUUUCGGGCAAGGAUGAGCUCGCGGCCUAUCAGCUAGUUGGUGAGGUAAUGGCUAACCAAGGCGACGACGGGUAGCCGGCCUGAGAGGGUGACCGGCCACACUGGAACUGAGACACGGUCCAGACUCCUACGGGAGGCAGCAGUGGGGAAUAUUGCACAAUGGGCGAAAGCCUGAUGCAGCAACGCCGCGUGAGGGAUGAAGGCCUUCGGGUUGUAAACCUCUUUUUAGCAGGGAAGAAGCGAAAGUGACGGUACCUGCAGAAAAAGCACCGGCUAACUACGUGCCAGCCGCCGCCGUAA
rnacentral:rRNA from 1 species